rnacentral:rRNA from 1 species
UACGAAGGGAGCUAGCGUUGUUCGGAAUCACUGGGCGUAAAGCGCACGUAGGCGGAUGUGUCGGUCAGGGGUGAAAUCCCGGAGCUCAACUUCGGAACUGCCUUUGAUACAGCACGUCUUGAGUCCGAUAGAGGUGGGUGGAAUUCCUAGUGUAGAGGUGAAAUUCGUAGAUAUUAGGAAGAACACCGGUGGCGAAGGCGGCCCACUGGAUCGGUACUGACGCUGAGGUGCGAAAGCGUGGGGAGCGAACAGG